rnacentral:rRNA from 1 species
AAUGAACGCUGGCGGCAGGCCUAACACAUGCAAGUCGAACGAGGCAGCAAUGCCUAGUGGCGGACGGGUGAGUAACGCGUGGGAGCGUGCCCCUUGGUACGGAAUAGCCCUGGGAAACUGGGAGUAAUACCGUAUGUGGUCGAGAGACGAAAGAUUUAUCGCCAAGGGAUCGGCCCGCGUUGGAUUAGGUAGUUGGUGGGGUAAUGGCCUACCAAGCCGACGAUCCAUAGCUGGUUUGAGAGGAUGAUCAGCCACACUGGGACUGAGACACGGCCCAGACUCCUACGGGAGGCAGCAGUGGGGAAUCUUAGACAAUGGGGGAAACCCUGAUCUAACCAUGCCGCGUGAUCGAUGAAGGCCUUAGGGUUGUAAAGAUCUUUCAGUGGGGAAGAUAAUGACGGUACCCACAGAAGAAGCCCCGGCUAACUCCGUGCCAGCAGCCGCAGUAA